GACGUAGGGCGCAAGCGUUGUCCGGAUUUAUUGGGCGUAAAGAGCUCGUAGGCGGCUUGUCGCGUCUGCUGUGAAAACUGGAGGCUCAACCUCCAGCCUGCAGUGGGUACGGGCAGACUAGAGUGCGGUAGGGGAGAUUGGAAUUCCUGGUGUAGCGGUGGAAUGCGCAGAUAUCAGGAGGAACACCAAUGGCGAAGGCAGAUCUCUGGGCCGUAACUGACGCUGAGGAGCGAAAGCAUGGGGAGCGAACAGG
rnacentral:rRNA from 1 species